ensembl:lncRNA
CAGAGAGAGAUACAGUAAAUUGAACAAAGACACAAUGCAGUCUAAAGAUACAGACACCCCCACUGUUUGCAGCCCAGAUGGUACAUCCCAGUCCUUCUCCUUUCCCUCCCUCUGUUUUCACUGUGCCCUCCAUCUCUCUACUUACUCUCACUCUCUGCCUUGAGGACAUAACUGAGUUCCGGCUGAUAGCUUUUGAGCAGCAAUUCCAUCCCUCCGUCCAUUGUUACAGAGCUGUUGGAGAGGAGAACAGAAUAGCCUGAGGUAAAGCAGUGCUGACCUGAAAGACACUUCUGACCAACCCCACCUGUUUCUGGAUCCUAUGGAAGCUAAGGCUAAGAGCGGGGCACCAGUGCCCAAGGCAUCCUCUAAAGCAGAGAAGACGGAGAAGAAGGAGACAGCUCCCCCUAAAAAGGUUGACCCCACUCCAGUAGAGCCUCCACCCCCAGCGGUCCCUGUGGAAGAGCCUCCAGUGGAGGAUGGCUCAGCUGAACCAGAGGGGGCACCAGAGGGGGAGGAGGCAGCAGAGGCCAGCACAGACUCCCUGGAAAGCCUGAAGCCCUUCCUCAUUGGUGGUGCCAUCAUCGCUGCUGGUGCCAUCCUGUUGGGGGCACUGUUGUUGGCAAGAAGAAAUUAAUCACCACCACUCAUCAUAAAAACAUAUUGGUUGAUGGGUUAACAAGUCACUUGCUGAUUGGUUCAUAGACUAUCAUGCAGCUGGUAGAGAUGGGGGAUGGGGAGCCACUUUGCUUCUUAAGUUUAUUUCAGUCUGACCUUGCUUGUAGUGAAUAAAAACAUCAGUGAACAUUCAAGUAAUAUAUUUUUGGGCCCCUGCUAGUAUACUCACGCAUGAAUUUGCUCCACCUCUCUAACUGCACCUACUUAUUAUAGGGCUACACGCCUUUAAUCACCAUACAAAUGCACUCCAACAGUUACACUGGACACACACAUAUAUACAGUACUUGAACACCCUAUUUAUCCAGUAUGCACUGAUAAACAUUUUGAUGUUUCUGGGUCUACUAAUACAUAAAUUAGAAGUAGAAAUGCAGUAACUUUAUAUUGUUUGAUUUGAAAAAGGUCAUAUGAAGUGAAGUAUGAAGUAUAUUAAACAUACUAUUGUGAGUGCCUAGCAGGUUUGGGGUCAAUUUCAUUUAAAUUCCAGUCAAUUCAGGAAGUACACUGAAAUUCCAAUUCUCUUGAAUCCUUUUCAAUAUAGAACAUUUGGAAUUUGAAUUUUGUUUAAUUUCUCAGUGCAAUUUAAAUGGAAUUGAUCCCAACCCUGGUGCCUAGUAUGUGCUAUUUCUAUGCUCGUAUUGCUUUUGCUGUAAAUACCUGGUCCCUGAAGAUUAGAUGUGAACCCUUUUGAAUAACGGUUUUAGACCAGGAGAUAUCGUUAUAUCAAUUCAGGGGAAGUUGCAUGUUUUAGGGAAGGCUGUGUGUGAUGUCAGUAAUGGCAGAUAAUAGUGUGACAGAUGAAGUAACUUAAAUAAUUGGAUGUAAUACACUUCCAUUUCAGUCUCUACUGAUACUGAGAUAAUAACAUUUCAUAGUCAAAUUGCCCCUAUAUCCCAAAUCAAUAUGUACAUUGAGAUUAUAUUCAAAGUUAUGCCUGGCUGCCUGCGUUUACUGCCCUGGUGACACAAAUGGAGUAUAAACCAAAAGCAUAUACACUAAAUUGCCAAACCUAUUGCCAAAAAUAUGAUAUAUAUUUUAACCCUGUGUGUUAACACUGAAAUCCCUUGGUGUAUCCAUUUGUCAAAUGUAUUAACAGCUUGCUUACUACAAUUUCUCUGGAGCAAUAGUGUAGCCUCUAUUUAUUUGAAGACCAUACAUGUUAGAGAGUGUUAGUGUGAGAGACUGUGCAGAUACUGUAAUAGUACUGUACAUUGUAUGAAUUUUGAUUCAGAAUGAAAAUAUUCUACAUGCAAUAUGUGGUGUACCAAUGUAUGUGGUAGCUUGGCCAGUCAUGCUCAGCAAAUCAGCAUAUACACAAAUAUAUUACAUCCAUCUCCAACCUCCAGGAAAGCGUUGAAAGUAUGAUGAAAUGAUAAUACAUGCAUUACGGUGUAUUUGUAAUAUUUUUUGAUAGUUUGAUGAACCUAGAAUUCAAGUAGAAAGCAUGCAUUAUUGAUGGGAGUAGAGAAAGAUGGAUUUAUUUAGUAGAUCAACUGAGAUUGUUUCCUCAUUUGUUUCCCUAUUAAUUACAGAGAAGCUCUCCUAUUUUUGAUAACAUACAGUUUUUUUUUUUAUAAGAGGCCUACGAGAUUUUCAACACCCAAUCAAACAUCUUGCUUGAACACUGGCAUGUAGCGUACCAUGAUGCAAUAUCAAUACCUCCAGCAUAGCAACAGAACAGACACAUAUUCUGCAAACACAUGUUCAAAUAGCCUAGUCAUCAUGUCACAGAGUACUAAAUCAAAUCUAGCAGUUAUUUUCCUUGGUCUCAAAGAGCGUAUAAAUGCAAUAAUUCCAGUAGGACUUCACAUUUUAGCACAUGUUCUGUAUGAUAUUAAAAUAAAUGGCAAUGAUGGUGAAAUGUUGAUGGGUAAUACUAUUGUAAAUGGAAAAUGAUUACCAGAUGAUGAUGAUGUGAUAUUGGUGAUUAUACCUAUAUUUUCUUGAUAUCCCAGCUCCCUAUGACAUAUUUCCCCUCUUGCACACUCCCUCCCCCUGCCCCCAAAGCUCCUUGUGUAAAUCCAAAUGGUUGUCUUGUGACUUGACCUGACCUUUAUUAAAGGCAAUGGACGCUCUUGCAUAGACUAAAGGGUCUCUUUGAUAGCUGUGAAUCAUUUUGUGUCCUACACUCUCCACCAAUAGAAAUAGCUAGGGUUCAUUGUGUUGAGAUUGAAGCACUCCUCUCAUUGUUUCCUUUCCUCCAUCAUCACUGAUAUGAAUAGGACUGACUGGCUAUAGGCUGUAUUAUGUCCACCAUUCACAUGUUAGCGGUCAUGAAAAGGAGACAUUUUAAAUGUUAUCAUGCUGGCCAAUAGGGUUUCUAAACAUUGUGCUGUUUUAAAAAUCUGAAUUCUCAAAGAGAUACAUUAGCCAGUUCCAGAUGUGAAUCUAGUAUUCUAGUAACCAUGUGUAUGUGACCAAUAAAAUUGGAUUUCAUGAUUUGAAUCUAGUAUUGGACUAGUCCAAAAUAGAAAACUGAGGGGGAGUCGUAUUCUAAACAGACCCCUUAUAUAUUCGGAAAAUCUAAUGUGUACCAAGAAAACAACAAUAUGCUAAAGGUAAAUGGAGCUAUGAAUGAGGCACAGCUCAUUCAAUUACAACAUUUCUAGAACCCCCUGUAAAGUUUCAGCCCCUAGACAUGCCCCCGUCAGUUGCCAACUUAGUGGCUUUGUCGUUAGCGUGUAUUCAGACUCCUCUAGCGACACAUUUUCAAAAAAAGCAACAAGCGACAAAUCCAGCGACUUUUUCUGGUGUUAUUGGAGACUAAGAACCAUACGUGCUUUCACUGCUCUCUUCUCAACGAGCAGCGGGUGCUGCCGUGGGCCCCACCCCGUCCCAAUGCAUUCACCCAGUCGUAGCACAGCAGUCCUUCCCAGCUGCAGUCAGAGCAGGAGAUGUUCACCCCUCCACGUCCAGAAUGUUUUUUUUUGUGUGACUUGUUGUAGGCUGCUAAGUAGACCAUAAGGUUACAAACCAAAACAAAACAAACUAAACUAAAAUAAAGGAGGGUUGGAAUUGUGACAUUAAAAACAAGAACCGACAGAAUAAAGUUAAUUUGUAGUUCUAAACAUAUUUAGGGUGUUUUUUUUACUCACUUUUUGUCUCUCCCACGACGUUUUUCCCUCUCUCCUACAGCGUUUU